rnacentral:lncRNA from 9 species
CCUGUGUCUUGUUUAUAAUUGUAGGUUUUCUUUUCCUGGCAGUUAAAGAUUUAGUAACCAAUAGCAAAUGUACCCUCUUCAACAUCAGCCCUACUUUAGCUGAUAAUUAUUUAAUAAGUCACUGAAAAUUGCACAUAAGUAAUUUUAGGCUUCGAUUUUAGAGUGGAUGGAGAAGGUUUACCCUGUCUCCCUAAAAUAUGUUAUUUUUAAACAGAAUAUUAUACUCCCAAAUAUGUUGACGCAAAUUAGUAGAAUGAAGAAAAAGUGGUUUAUAUCAGUGCUUUUAAGUGAAGAAUUAUUGGCAAGUAGUGUUGGCAAAAUGAAAGGAGCCCUAAUGGUGGCAUCAGGAGGCUUGGUUGCCAUUUAAUGUGACAGCAAGUUGUGUUUAAAAUUUGUGAAUAGCGAGUUCCCGUCAUGGCACAGCGGAAACGAAUUCAGCUAGGAACCAUGAGGUUGUGGGUUCAAUCUCUGGCCUCGCUCAGUGGGUUAAAGAUCUGGCAUUGCCGUGAGCCAUGGUGUAGGUCGCAGGUGUGGCUCGGAUCCUGCAUGGCUGUGGCUGUGGCUGUGGCCGGCAGCUGGAACUCUGAUUAGACCCCUAGCCUGGGAACCUCCACAUGCCGAAGGUGCAGCCCUAAAAAGACAAAAAGACAAAAAACAAAAACAAAAACAAAAACAAACUUGUAAAUAAAGCUGGCUCUACAGUGGUCUAGCUCAGAAGGCAGAUGUCUCUGACUGACUAGGAAUACAUCCCGGUAGGGCUUAAAUUUUAAAAGUAACACCUCUUGAGUAAUGCUAGUCUUUUGACAUCUUAUACUGAGAACCAGCCCAAAUGAAUUACAGUGACAGGAAGGGGGAAUUUAUAUUAGUGACACCAAAAUAGAAGGCUGGGAACCAAAAUCCAGUCCUUUACAUGAGAUGGUCAUCUUCAAUGCGUAUCUGCUUUCUUUGCUUUCCUUUUCUUGGAAUGGGAGAGAGCAGACAAAAUUGCUGCCCUGAAAUUUCUGUGAAUUGUAUUUUCAGAGUACCAGAAAUAUUAGAAAAGUUUUUUUUGCUAGUAAUGCAGUCUCAGAAAAACAGAAGAAAUAGAAGAAACCUAAAACCAUCAACAAGAUUUUCUGGUUAAGAUGAACCUGAUUUCAGAGAAGAUUUGAGAUGUCAUAGUAGAAAAUGUCAUUUGAGCCUCAUGAAAUUUAAAAUGUAUUUUUGGAGCUCAGUGUGGGAGAACAAGAGGAAAUAAUCAGUAAGAGUCAC